AUUCGCUAGUAAUCGCGCAUCAACCAUGGCGCGGUGAAUACGUUCCCGGGCCUUGUACACACCGCCCGUCAAGCCAUGGGAGCCGGGGGUGCCUGAAGUUCGUGACCGCAAGGAGCGACCUAGGGCAAAACUGGUGACUGGGGCUAAGUCGUAACAAGGUACC
rnacentral:rRNA from 1 species